rnacentral:rRNA from 1 species
CCAAGCGACUGUUUACCAAAAACAUAGGUUUCUGCUAAGUCGCAAGACGAUGUAUAGGAGCUGACGCCUGCCCGGUGCUGGAAGGUUAAGGGGAUCUGUUAGAGCAAUCGAAGCAGUGAACUUAAGCCCCAGUAAACGGCGGCCGUAACUAUAACGGUCCUAAGGUAGCGAAAUUCCUUGUCGGGUAAGUUCCGACCCGCACGAAAGGCGUAACGAUUUGGGCACUGUCUCAACAACAGACUCGGUGAAAUUGUAAUUCCGGUGAAGAUGCCGGAUACCUGCGACAGGACGGAAAGACCCCAUGGAGCUUUACUGUAGCUUGACAUUGGGUCUUGGUACUACAUGUACAGGAUAGGUGGGAGGCUUUGAAACCAGGACGCCAGUUUUGGCGGAGCCAUCCUUGGGAUACCACCCUUGUAGUACUGGGACUCUAACCAUAGGCCAUGAAUCUGGUCUUGGGACACUGUCAGGUGGGCAGUUUGACUGGGGCGGUCGCCUCCCAAAAGGUAACGGAGGCGCUCAAAGGUUCUCUCAGUACGGUCGGAAAUCGUACGUAGAGUGUAAAGGCAAAAGAGAGCUUGAUUGCAAGACAUACAGGUCGAGCAAGGAUGAAAAUCGGACUUAGUGAUCCGGUGGUUCUGCGUGGAAGGGCCAUCGCUCAACGGAUAAAAGCUACCCUGGGGAUAACAGGCUUAUCUCCCCCAAGAGUCCACAUCGACGGGGAGGUUUGGCACCUCGAUGUCGGCUCAUCACAUCCUGGGGCUGUAGUAGGUCCCAAGGGUUGGGCUGUUCGCCCAUUAAAGUGGUACGCGAGCUGGGUUCAGAACGUCGUGAGACAGUUCGGUCCCUAUCCGUCGCAGGCGUAGGAAAUUUGAGAAGACCUGUCCUUAGUACGAGAGGACCGGGAUGGACG